AUGGGCACUAGGUGUGGGAGGUGUCGACUCCUCCCGUGCCGACGCUAACGCAUUAAGUGCCCCGCCUGGGGAGUACGGCCGCAAGGCUAAAACUCAAAGGAAUUGACGGGGGCCCGCACAAGCAGCGGAGCAUGUGGUUUAAUUCGACGCAACGCGAAGAACCUUACCUGGGUUUGACAUGUUGGUGACCGGUGUGGAAACACACCUUUCCUUCGGGACACCAUCACAGGUGGUGCAUGGCUGUCGUCAG
rnacentral:rRNA from 1 species